AAACAUGAACUAGGGACUAUAUGGUUAUUUGCUGCUCACUUUAUGUUUACAUCUCCCACAUUCAUACCAGUAUACAUCAGGUUUGCUUAACCAUUGAUUUCUUUUUUUUUUUUUUUACCAAAUUUUUAUGUUCACAAUGUAGACUUUCUGGAAAGUCACAUGCACCAUGCAGGGCAACAUGGGGAGGCACUAUGGUCAGUUAGGAUGAAUAAGGAUUGUGAGAGGAAACGGUAGACAAGAGCAUGUAUUUUGUUUUUGCAAGGAGGACUAGGGCAAGUAGGAUGAGCAUGUUUAGGACUGGCUGGCAGAACAAUUUUAGCAGGCUUGGGGCUCAGGUUGUCUGAUGCUUAUUCCUAGGAUGAUUAGGGCAGAAAACAGUGCCUGCUGUGAGUGUUCAGUUCUGUACCAAGGUAUCGAGGGUUAUGGGCCUGGGAGUGGUUGGUCUAUAUAUGAAAGGCAGCUUGCGAGCAGAUUAUUUACUGUCUUAAGAUGUGGCUAGUUCUGAGAGGAGCAGUCACCCCAUGGCAAGUGAGGCACCAAAUGCCAGAAAAUUAAAAAUAGAGAAAACAGGGCUGAGUAUUGUUGCACAGUGGGUUAAGCCCCUACUUGUGACAUCUGCAACCCAUAUCAGAGUGCUCACUCAAGUCCAGGCUUCUCUGCUUCCCAUACAGCUUUCCUGAUAAUGCACCUGGGAAGAAGCAGAUGAUGACCCAAGUAGUUGGGUCUCUGGCACGCACAUGGGAGACCUAGAUGGUGUUCCUAGCUCCUGGAUUUAGCUUGGCCCAGCCUUGGCAGUGUUCGGCA
rnacentral:lncRNA from 1 species